GCCGGGCAUGGUGGCGCAUGCUUGUAAUCCCAACUACUUGGGAGGCCCAGGCAGGAGAAUCGCUUGAACCUGGGAGGCAGAGGUUGCAGUGAGCCAAUAUCACGACACUGCACUCCAGCCCAGGCAACAGAGCGAGAUCCUGUCUCAA
rnacentral:SRP_RNA from 1 species